rnacentral:rRNA from 1 species
GGUUAAGCGACUAAGCGUACACGGUGGAUGCCCUGGCAGUCAGAGGCGAUGAAGGACGUGCUAAUCUGCGAUAAGCGUCGGUAAGGUGAUAUGAACCGUUAUAACCGGCGAUUUCCGAAUGGGGAAACCCAGUGUGAUUCGUCACACUAUCAUUAACUGAAUCCAUAGGUUAAUGAGGCGAACCGGGGGAACUGAAACAUCUAAGUACCCCGAGGAAAAGAAAUCAACCGAGAUUCCCCCAGUAGCGGCGAGCGAACGGGGAGCAGCCCAGAGCCUGAAUCAGUGUGUGUGUUAGUGGAAGCGUCUGGAAAGGCGCGCGAUACAGGGUGACAGCCCCGUACACAAAAAUGCACAUGCUGUGAGCUCGAUGAGUAGGGCGGGACACGUGGUAUCCUGUCUGAAUAUGGGGGGACCAUCCUCCAAGGCUAAAUACUCCUGACUGACCGAUAGUGAACCAGUACCGUGAGGGAAAGGCGAAAAGAACCCCGGCGAGGGGAGUGAAAAAGAACCUGAAACCGUGUACGUACAAGCAGUGGGAGCACAGAGCAAUCUGUGUGACUGCGUACCUUUUGUAUAAUGGGUCAGCGACUUAUAUUCUGUAGCAAGGUUAACCGAAUAGGGGAGCCGAAGGGAAACCGAGUCUUAACUGGGCGUUAAGUUGCAGGGUAUAGACCCGAAACCCGGUGAUCUAGCCAUGGGCAGGUUGAAGGUUGGGUAACACUAACUGGAGGACCGAACCGACUAAUGUUGAAAAAUUAGCGGAUGACUUGUGGCUGGGGGUGAAAGGCCAAUCAAACCGGGAGAUAGCUGGUUCUCCCCGAAAGCUAUUUAGGUAGCGCCUCGUGAAUUCAUCUCCGGGGGUAGAGCACUGUUUCGGCAAGGGGGUCAUCCCGACUUACCAACCCGAUGCAAACUGCGAAUACCGGAGAAUGUUAUCACGGGAGACACACGGCGGGUGCUAACGUCCGUCGUGAAGAGGGAAACAACCCAGACCGCCAGCUAAGGUCCCAAAGUCAUGGUUAAGUGGGAAACGAUGUGGGAAGGCCCAGACAGCCAGGAUGUUGGCUUAGAAGCAGCCAUCAUUUAAAGAAAGCGUAAUAGCUCACUGGUCGAGUCGGCCUGCGCGGAAGAUGUAACGGGGCUAAACCAUGCACCGAAGCUGCGGCAGCGACGCUGAUGCGUUGUUGGGUAGGGGAGCGUUCUGUAAGCCUGUGAAGGUGUGCUGUGAGGCAUGCUGGAGGUAUCAGAAGUGCGAAUGCUGACAUAAGUAACGAUAAAGCGGGUGAAAAGCCCGCUCGCCGGAAGACCAAGGGUUCCUGUCCAACGUUAAUCGGGGCAGGGUGAGUCGACCCCUAAGGCGAGGCCGAAAGGCGUAGUCGAUGGGAAACAGGUUAAUAUUCCUGUACUUGGUGUUACUGCGAAGGGGGGACGGAGAAGGCUAUGUUGGCCGGGCGACGGUUGUCCCGGUUUAAGCGUGUAGGCUGGUUUUCCAGGCAAAUCCGGAAAAUCAAGGCUGAGGCGUGAUGACGAGGCACUACGGUGCUGAAGCAACAAAUGCCCUGCUUCCAGGAAAAGCCUCUAAGCAUCAGGUAACAUCAAAUCGUACCCCAAACCGACACAGGUGGUCAGGUAGAGAAUACCAAGGCGCUUGAGAGAACUCGGGUGAAGGAACUAGGCAAAAUGGUGCCGUAACUUCGGGAGAAGGCACGCUGAUAUGUAGGUGAAGUCCCUCGCGGAUGGAGCUGAAAUCAGUCGAAGAUACCAGCUGGCUGCAACUGUUUAUUAAAAACACAGCACUGUGCAAACACGAAAGUGGACGUAUACGGUGUGACGCCUGCCCGGUGCCGGAAGGUUAAUUGAUGGGGUUAGCGCAAGCGAAGCUCUUGAUCGAAGCCCCGGUAAACGGCGGCCGUAACUAUAACGGUCCUAAGGUAGCGAAAUUCCUUGUCGGGUAAGUUCCGACCUGCACGAAUGGCGUAAUGAUGGCCAGGCUGUCUCCACCCGAGACUCAGUGAAAUUGAACUCGCUGUGAAGAUGCAGUGUACCCGCGGCAAGACGGAAAGACCCCGUGAACCUUUACUAUAGCUUGACACUGAACAUUGAGCCUUGAUGUGUAGGAUAGGUGGGAGGCUUUGAAGUGUGGACGCCAGUCUGCAUGGAGCCGACCUUGAAAUACCACCCUUUAAUGUUUGAUGUUCUAACGUUGACCCGUGAUCCGGGUUGCGGACAGUGUCUGGUGGGUAGUUUGACUGGGGCGGUCUCCUCCUAAAGAGUAACGGAGGAGCACGAAGGUUGGCUAAUCCUGGUCGGACAUCAGGAGGUUAGUGCAAUGGCAUAAGCCAGCUUGACUGCGAGCGUGACGGCGCGAGCAGGUGCGAAAGCAGGUCAUAGUGAUCCGGUGGUUCUGAAUGGAAGGGCCAUCGCUCAACGGAUAAAAGGUACUCCGGGGAUAACAGGCUGAUACCGCCCAAGAGUUCAUAUCGACGGCGGUGUUUGGCACCUCGAUGUCGGCUCAUCACAUCCUGGGGCUGAAGUAGGUCCCAAGGGUAUGGCUGUUCGCCAUUUAAAGUGGUACGCGAGCUGGGUUUAGAACGUCGUGAGACAGUUCGGUCCCUAUCUGCCGUGGGCGCUGGAGAACUGAGGGGGGCUGCUCCUAGUACGAGAGGACCGGAGUGGACGCAUCACUGGUGUUCGGGUUGUCAUGCCAAUGGCACUGCCCGGUAGCUAAAUGCGGAAGAGAUAAGUGCUGAAAGCAUCUAAGCACGAAACUUGCCCCGAGAUGAGUUCUCCCUGACUCCUUGAGAGUCCUGAAGGAACGUUGAAGACGACGACGUUGAUAGGCCGGGUGUGUAAGCGCAGCGAUGCGUUGAGCUAACCGGUACUAAUGAACCGUGAGGCUUAACCUU